rnacentral:rRNA from 1 species
UACGUGGUGGCGAGCGUUGUCCGGAUUUACUGGGCGUAAAGGGAGCGUAGUCGGACUUUUAAGUGAGAUGUGAAAUACCCGGGCUCAACUUGGGUGCUGCAUUUCAAACUGGAAGUCUAGAGUGCAGGAGAGGAGAAUGGAAUUCCUAGUGUAGCGGUGAAAUGCGUAGAUAUUAGGAGGAACACCAGUUGCGAAGGCGGCUCUCUGGACUGUAACUGACACUGAGGCACGAAAGCGUGGGGAGCAAACAGGAUUAGAUACCCGGGUA